rnacentral:hammerhead_ribozyme from 1 species
ACUUUGCUGACGAGUGCCAAAUGGCACGAAACCCGGGUUCAGGGU